rnacentral:rRNA from 1 species
AGAGUUUGAUCAUGGCUCAGGAUGAACGCUGGCGGUAUGCCUAACACAUGCAAGUCGAACGAUGUCUUCGGACAUAGUGGCGGACGGGUGAGUAACGCGUGAGAAUCUGCCUCUAGGAUGGGGAUAACGGUUGGAAACGACCGCUAACACCCAAUAUGCCGUAAGGUGAAAAAUUUAUUGCCUGGAGAGGAGCUCGCGUCUGAUUAGCUAGUUGGUGGGGUAAGAGCUCACCAAGGCCUCGAUCAGUAGCUGGUCUGAGAGGAUGAGCAGCCACACUGGGACUGAGACACGGCCCAGACUCCUACGGGAGGCAGCAGUGGGGAAUUUUCCGCAAUGGGCGAAAGCCUGACGGAGCAAUACCGCGUGAGGGAGGAAUGCCUUUGGGUUGUAAACCUCUUUUCUCAGGGAAGAAGAUCUGACGGUACCUGAGGAAUAAGUAUCGGCUAACUCCGUGCCAGCAGCCGCGGUAAUACGGAGGAUGCAAGCGUUAUCCGGAAUUAUUGGGCGUAAAGCGUCCGCAGGUGGUUUCCAAAGUCUGCUGUUAAAGACUGGAGCUCAACUCCGGAACGGCGGUGGAAACUUGGAAACUAGAGUUCGGUAGGGGUAGCAGGAAUUCCCAGUGUAGCGGUGAAAUGCGUAGAUAUUGGGAAGAACAUCGGUGGCGAAGGCGUGCUACUGGACCGUAACUGACACUCAGGGACGAAAGCUAGGGGAGCGAAAGGGAUUAGAUACCCCUGUAGUCCUAGCUGUAAACGAUGGAAACUAGGUGUGGCUUGUAUCGACCCGA